rnacentral:lncRNA from 1 species
GCUGGUCCGAAUUCGGUGGCGCCACGUCCGCCCGUCUCCGCCUUCUGCAUCGCGGCUUCGGCGGCUUCCACCUAGACACCUAACAGUCGCGGAGCCGGCCGCGUCGUGAGGGGGUCGGCACGGGGAGUCGGGCGGUCUUGUGCAUCUUGGCUACCUGUGGGUCGAAGAUGUCGGACAUCGGAGACUGGUUCAGGAGCAUCCCGGCGAUCACGCGCUAUUGGUUCGCCGCCACCGUCGCCGUGCCCUUGGUCGGCAAACUCGGCCUCAUCAGCCCGGCCUACCUCUUCCUCUGGCCCGAAGCCUUCCUUUAUCGCUUUCAGGCCAAUCACUGCCACCUUUUAUUUCCCUGUGGGUCCAGGAACUGGAUUUCUUUAUUUGGUCAAUUUAUAUUUCUUAUAUCAGUAUUCUACGCGACUUGAAACAGGAGCUUUUGAUGGGAGGCCAGCAGACUAUUUAUUCAUGCUCCUCUUUAACUGGAUUUGCAUCGUGAUUACUGGCUUAGCAAUGGAUAUGCAGUUGCUGAUGAUUCCUCUGAUCAUGUCAGUACUUUAUGUCUGGGCCCAGCUGAACAGAGACAUGAUUGUAUCAUUUUGGUUUGGAACACGAUUUAAGGCCUGCUAUUUACCCUGGGUUAUCCUUGGAUUCAACUAUAUCAUCGGAGGCUCGGUAAUCAAUGAGCUUAUUGGAAAUCUGGUUGGACAUCUUUAUUUUUUCCUAAUGUUCAGAUACCCAAUGGACUUGGGAGGAAGAAAUUUUCUAUCCACACCUCAGUUUUUGUACCGCUGGCUGCCCAGUAGGAGAGGAGGAGUAUCAGGAUUUGGUGUGCCCCCUGCUAGCAUGAGGCGAGCUGCUGAUCAGAAUGGCGGAGGCGGGAGACACAACUGGGGCCAGGGCUUUCGACUUGGAGACCAGUGAAGGGGCGGCCUCGGGCAGCCGCUCCUCUCAAGCCACAUUUCCUCCCAGUGCUGGGUGCACUUAACAACUGCGUUCUGGCUAACACUGUUGGACCUGACCCACACUGAAUGUAGUCUUUCAGUACGAGACAAAGUUUCUUAAAUCCCGAAG